UGAACAUAAUCUUGGAGUGCAGAAAGGUGGUCAUGAACCAAGUUUACGACCUCACCAAGUCACUAAGCAGAAUGCUAGUGCUGAAAAUAGCAAGGCAACCAAGCCAUGUGGUCAUCACCAAGUCACUAAGCAGG